CCUACGGGUGGCUGCAGUGGGGAAUAUUGCACAAUGGGGGAAACCCUGAUGCAGCGACGCCGCGUGAGGGAAGAAGUCUCUCGGUACGUAAAGCUCUAUCAGCAGGGAAGAAAAUGACGGUACCUGACUAAGACGCCCCGGCUAACUACGUGCCAGCCGCCGCGGUCAGACGUAGGGGGCGAGCGUUAUCCGGAUUUAUUGGGUUUAAAGGGUGCGCAGGGGGAAGAUCAAGUCAGCGGUAAAGUUGAGAGGCUCAACGUCUUCGAGCCGUUGAAACUGGUUUUCUUGAGUGAGCGAGAAGUAGGCGGAAUGCGUGGUGUAGCGGUGAAAUGCAUAGAUAUCACGCAGAACUCCGAUUGCGAAGGCAGCAUACCGGCGCGCAACUGACGCUGAUGCACGAAAGUGUGGGUAUCGAACAGGAUUAGAUACCCUUGUAGUC
rnacentral:rRNA from 1 species